CACACAGAGUCAUCCACUGCACUCACAGGAAUGCCAUUUAACUUUGCCUUUCUCUAACCCAGGUGCCACCCCUAAUAAAGGCCACAGGCUUGGAAUCAGGAUGAAGCUGGAGCCUGAAGGAGCCAGGCACACUCAGGAGAGGCUGACCAAGAGGCUCACAGGCCAUCACAAGGCCCUUCAAGGCAGACUCAUUUCAGGUGUAACGUGGGUCCACAUCAUCGAUCAUCCAAAAGAUAAUUUGGGGCCCACGGCCUGGAGAUGGGAGAAUAGUGGGUUGGUAGUUCUUGGGGCAUAUUUUAAAAAUUAG
rnacentral:lncRNA from 1 species